UACGUAGGGUGCAAGCGUUGUCCGGAAUUAUUGGGCGUAAAGAGCUCGUAGGCGGUUUGUCGCGUCUGCUGUGAAAACCCGAGACUCAACCUCGGGCCUGCAGUGGGUACGGGCAGACUAGAGUGCGGUAGGGGAGAUUGGAAUUCCUGGUGUAGCGGUGGAAUGCGCAGAUAUCAGGAGGAACACCAAUGGCGAAAGCAGCUUUCUGGGACGGUACUGACGCUGAGACGCGAAAGCGUGGGGAGCGAACAGG
rnacentral:rRNA from 1 species